rnacentral:rRNA from 1 species
UACGUAGGGGCCUAGCGUUGUCCGGAUUUAUUGGGCGUAAAGAGCUCGUAGGCGGUUCGGUAAGUCAGGUGUGAAAUCUCCACGCUCAACGUGGAGGCGCCACCUGAAACUGCCGUGACUCGAGUCCGGUAGGGGAGUGUGGAAUUCCUGGUGUAGCGGUGAAAUGCGCAGAUAUCGGGAGGAACACCUGUGGCGAAGGCGGCCGGCUGGGCCUUGACUGACGCUGAGGCGCGAAAGCGUGGGGAGCAAACGGG